GGGGAUGUGGCUCAGUGGUAGAACAUUUGCUUAGCAUUUCUGGGGCCCUGGGUUCAAGCCCCAGCACCACCA
rnacentral:tRNA from 1 species